CCCUUGUGGAGGAGGACGCCGAAGGUGGGGCUAAUGACUGGGGUGAAGUCGUAACAAGGUAGCCGUACCGGAAGGUGCGGCUGGAUCACCUCCUAACAGGGAGACAACAAAAUGUUAAAUAUUAAUUUUGUCACCUUAGGUCGAUCGGUAUCUCACAUCCUUGAAGUUUAUUUAAGGAUUUUAUUUCCUAAGUUUUUUCUAGGUCACACCCAUUAUUUUUCCUGGGCCAUUAGCUCAGGUGGUUAGAGCGCACCCCUGAUAAGGGUGAGGUCCCUGGUUCAAGUCCAGGAUGGCCCAUAUCUCUAUGUUGGGGGUAUAGCUCAGUUGGUAGAGCGCCUGCUUUGCAAGCAGGAUGUCAGCGGUUCGAGUCCGCUUACCUCCACUGAUUACCACCUCUCCCAUAAUUUAGAAGGGAAAUUUUUUGAGUUGUGACCAAAUUCUGAACGAAUCUAGCUUCCUAAUAAAACUUAUUAAGAUGCUGGACUCAUUGAAUUAAAUUCAUUGUUUUCAGAGAACCUUGACAACUGCAUAGAUUAUUUUAAAGACAAUAAGCAUCUUUAAUGAUGCAGAUUUAUUAUUUGUGCGAAUGCAUUAAUAACAAUUCUAUUAAGCUGAUGCUUCAAUUUUUGAAGUUAUUGGUCAAGCUACAAAGGGCUCACGGAGGAUACCUAGGCACACAGAGGCGAU
rnacentral:misc_RNA from 1 species